GAGGACGUGGCGUAAUGGUAGCGCAUUGGAUUUCGGUCCUCCAAAGGCUGCGGGUUCGAGUCCUGUCGUCCUCU